rnacentral:misc_RNA from 1 species
AUCUGUUUUCUAAUGCGAAGAUAUCUAAUUGGUUGGUUAGCAUAGUACUGUAUGAAUGCAAGGCUCCAAAGUCAACCUUGCCAGUUAGAUCACAGCUGCAAGGAAAAGUAUCAAGCAACCUAAACCCGCCGCCACCUGCAUCCUUAGCUUGGAAGAUGAAGAGUCUGGUAACAGUGACGAAGAUCUCUGGUAUCCCUGCAGCGCAAGAUUGUAAACCGGUGUCCCGUUUGGAUAAAACAGCCCAUAGUUCCUCUCUGAUGUUGGCCCUGGCUUCAUGUCUUCGUUAAACAGCGCAAACACAUACACAUCAAUCGGGAUUGAAGGAUUCAUCGGUGUUCCCUGAUUCAUUGCCAUCCUCUGCAUCAGAUUCCCAUUAUACAACGCAGCAUUCUGAGGACUUGCUCCCACCUCAUUAGCAUCCCCCUUUGAUGGCCAGCCGGUUUCCG